AACGAACGCUGGCGGCAGGCUUAACACAUGCAAGUCGAACGCAUCCUUCGGGGUGAGUGGCAGACGGGUGAGUAACGCGUGGGAACGUGCCCUUCAGUUCGGGAUAACCCAGGGAAACUUGGGCUAAUACCGGAUACGUGCGAGAGCAGAAAGAUUUAUCGCUGAAGGAUCGGCCCGCGUCUGAUUAGCUAGUUGGGUGGGUAAUGGCCCACCAAGGCGACGAUCAGUAGCUGGUCUGGGAGGAUGAUCAGCCACAUUGGGACUGAGACACGGCCCAAACUCCUACGGGAGGCAGCAGUGGGGAAUAUUGGACAAUGGGCGCAAGCCUGAUCCAGCCAUGCCGCGUGAGUGAUGAAGGCCUUAGGGUUGUAAAGCUCUUUCGUCCGGGACGAUAAUGACGGUACCGGAAGAAGAAGCCCCGGCUAACUUCGUGCCAGCCGCCGCCGUAA
rnacentral:rRNA from 1 species